rnacentral:rRNA from 1 species
AGGGAAUCUUCCACAAUGGACGAAAGUCUGAUGGAGCAACGCCGCGUGAGUGAAGAAGGUUUUCGGAUCGUAAAACUCUGUUAUUGGAGAAGAACGUAUUUGGUAGUAACUGGCCAGAUAGUGACGGUAUCCAAUCAGAAAGCCACGGCUAACUACGUGCCAGCAGCCGCGGUAAUACGUAGGUGGCAAGCGUUGUCCGGAUUUAUUGGGCGUAAAGCGAGUGCAGGCGGUUUUUUAAGUCUGAUGUGAAAGCCUUCGGCUUAACCGAAGAAAUGCAUUGGAAACUGGGAAACUUGAGUGCAGAAGAGGAGAGUGGAACUCCAUGUGUAGCGGUGAAAUGCGUAGAUAUAUGGAAGAACACCAGUGGCGAAGGCGGCUCUCUGGUCUGUAACUGACGCUGAGGCUCGAAAGCGUGGGUAGCAAAC